AUUGAACGCUGGCGGCAUGCUUUACACAUGCAAGUCGAACGGCAGCACGGGGGGCAACCCUGGUGGCGAGUGGCGAACGGGUGAGUAAUAUAUCGGAACGUACCCGGAAAUGGGGGAUAACGUAGCGAAAGUUACGCUAAUACCGCAUAUGCCCUAAGGGGGAAAGCGGGGGAUUCGCAAGAACCUCGCGUUUUCGGAGCGGCCGAUAUCGGAUUAGCUAGUAGGUGAGGUAAAGGCUCACCUAGGCGACGAUCCGUAGCUGGUCUGAGAGGACGACCAGCCACACUGGGACUGAGACACGGCCCAGACUCCUACGGGAGGCAGCAGUGGGGAAUUUUGGACAAUGGGCGAAAGCCUGAUCCAGCCAUGCCGCGUGCAGGAUGAAGGCCUUCGGGUUGUAAACUGCUUUUGUACGGAACGAAAAGACUCUGGUUAAUACCUGGGGUCCAUGACGGUACCGUAAGAAUAAGCACCGGCUAACUACGUG
rnacentral:rRNA from 1 species